AACGCACAUUGCACUGCCUGGUCAUCCGGGCAGUAUAUCUGUUUGAGUAUCAGCUACUUAUUCUCUCGACUAUCUGGGAAGCGAAUGGCUAGUUUGGGUGGCACCAGCUGCUAUAGUUCCUUGGGUCGGAUAUCCUGGGUGUUGCGACGUGUUUGCAUGCCUGGAAAAUUCAGAGUUCACCUUUGGACACAUUUGAAUGUGUCAACGUGGACAGCGCAUGUCCAAAGCGACCUCGCGGUUGCAGGACGUGCCGUCAGAGGUCUGUGUAGACUGAGAUGGAGAACACCAUUCUCCUGGCUAGCCUGCCUGCCAUACUCUUCUGUAUAGGAAGACCUCUGUGAGUCGAGACGCGUGUUGUACCCUGCACAUGCCGCCCUUGACGCUUUGAUCUCAAAUCAGAUAAGAGUACCCGCUGAACUUAA
rnacentral:misc_RNA from 1 species